rnacentral:hammerhead_ribozyme from 15 species
CAGGCGUCUAAGGUAGGCUUCCACUACAAUACCUUACUGAUGAGUCCAGUAGUGGAAGCCGGGACGAAACGCCAA